GAGAGAAGAACAAAACAAAAUGGUAAUGAAGAAAACAAGACAAGCUUUUCUUCUUCUGAGCUUACUUCAUAUGUUUCUAUGUCUAUCCUUUCAGGCUCGUGUCACAGAGGCUAGACUCCGUCACCUAGGUGAGGCUCGGAUGUCGAAACCCAGCAUAAGCGUAAGACCACCGCCACCAUGUCGAGCUCCUCUGAGUCCUGGUCGAGUGACUCCACUUAAGCGGCCUUGUAUAUCAGUUCCAAGACCUCCACGAAGAGAUCGGUGAUCUCAUCCGCCCAACAAUAUAAUUAGCCAUUAUACAAAAAAAAAAUACAAUAUAAUUAGCAACGUUAAAUAUGAACUUACACAUUCGAUUCCACAAAGACUUUAGGAGAAGCCCA